rnacentral:lncRNA from 1 species
GGUCCCUUAAACAUCUCAAGUACAUUCUACGUUAAGAGGAAUGACCGCACCAUUUUCCUGAGCUAUGGCAGUCAGACCUGGUAAAGGUGUCUUCUCUACAGAACCCCCAAACCUGGCAAGGAUGAUUCAGAUUUUGGCAGAUUAUCACUUCAUCCCCAACCAACACUUAUAAAAUAUCAACAGAGCAACUUUCAUUGUUAGAGAGAGGAGAGAGAGAGAAGCCUUGUUGGUUGACGUCACUUGGUUCAUGAAGCCUUCGCCUAGAAGUGAAGCUGCUGAACAAACCUUGAGAAGAAUCAUCUCCUGCUUCAAUCUGCUGCUGGAUAGGAACUAAUCAGAAGAGAGAGGCGGAAGACGGAGAAGGAGGGAGUCCAGGGCUUUCCCGAUCACAAAUCUCACCUCCACUCCAACUCUCUUUAUACUUUUCUUGCAAAAAUAGUAAUAGAAAUAAGGAGGUGGUAGGGUUUCCAAAAACAAAAAUCGUAACCUUCAACCAUCUGGAGAAGGCAAAAAUCCCAUCCACCGCAACUCUCAGUUCGAAAGUAAAGAAAAAUAUUGCUCUGUCAAAGGAAGUGAACCCUGCAUCAUGAAAAGCCUCCAGGUAGGUCCUUUGUAGAAUAGUUGGGGCGCAGAUAAAUAACCUAAGAGGCAUGGCUCAGCUGUACACCAGCCAUCUAAGCAUUCAUAAACCCAAAGAGAAUGAUAGUCACCACAGACAAAGGUAAAUCUUAUUGCGGGCACAUUCGUCCAUUCAAGCUAAGUGUAAGUUAUAUUCUAGCCUGAAGUAAAAGAGUUAUCCUAAAUUCCAGAGGCUACCUCCCUUAGUAGUGGCCUGGGAGAUACAAAUGAGAGUAUUAUUUUUCCAGGCUGAUGUCAGAGUAAAGAAGAAAGGGUUUCAUGUUUAGCUAGAGUAGGGAGUCUGGAUCUGCAUCUUGGGCAGAAGCACUCUACAUUGAUAUCAGCCACUUCUCUUCCUUGUCAGUUUGAUUUGCAGGUUAUCUUUUGUUUGUAUAGGACCAGGUAUCAGGUGGGACCUUUUCAGCUGUGAGAUCUGUACACAAGGCUCAAUUCAUUCAAGUUUUACAGCAGUGUCUGUGGUCAGGAGUAAUUGAUAAGAUCCCUUCCAGCAGGGAUCCAGGACUGACCUCAUUCUUAGUGACUCCAAAUCAGAAAGGUGGGAGAAAACGUGAAACAUUUUGGUGAGUCUAGACAGGAAGUUGAGGAAACUAAAAGAAUUCAAAUCUAGUCCAAUUUAUAGGUAUAUAACAAGACCUCAGAGACAAUAGGACCAGAAUCUAAUGUCUGCAAAGAUGCAAACAUAAUUUUCCCUCUACAAUUACAUUUUUCCCAAAAAUAACCAUAGUGAAACAAAUUUGUUUGUAAUACAUUUGAUUAAUUUUAUAAGUAUGGCAUGAAUAGUGACUGACCCUAUAGAUUCUUUUUAAAAACUACUUUGCCAGAAACUUGUAAGCAAGGUACCAGGUUGAUUUUUCCAAGCAGUUCUUUGAAACUAUCUGGUCACAUCUGAGUCUGUGCAAGUCUCUCUCAAAUAUAGCAUUCCAGUUAAAGCUUUGAUAAUAUAGCCAACAUUCUCCCCCCCCAUUGGACUCUGUCUGAUUUCUUCAUACAUUUAAAUAAUUGUUUAGGAGUUCCCUUUGUGGCUCAGUGGAAACAAAAACGACUAGUAUCCAUGAGGACACAGCCUUGCUCAGUGGGUUAAGGAUCCAGUGUUGCCAUGAGCUAUGGUGUAGGUUACAGACUAGGCUCCAAUCUUGUGUUUCUGUUGGCAGCUAUAGCUCUGAUUCAACCCCUAGCUUGGGAACCUCCAUAUGCGAAGGUUCUAAAAAGAAAAAGCUCUAAAAAGCAAAAAAAAAAAAAAAAAA